rnacentral:tmRNA from 1 species
GGGGCUGCACUUGGUUUCGACGGGGAGUACAAAGUUUAAGAUGCAUGUCGAGCCUGAAUGAUGCUCGUUAAUCCUUAUUUCAAUUUGUUAUAGUUGCAAACGACGAUAACUACGCUCUAGCCGCUUAAGCCGGCUAGUGCAGACUAGGACCGUUGUUCGUAGCCCCUAGUCUGUAUCGACUUAUACGGAAUCGUGUUGUGCAUGUGUUUGGAUGUACCUCACUAAACUUUACAAACUCGCCGAAUGUGAUCCCUGCUAGUCGGGUAACAACUUGGUUAAAUCAAUAGACUAAAUAAACAUGUAGACUUUUAGAUGGCGACUUUGCGGACGGCGGUUCGACUCCGCCCAGCUCCACCA